rnacentral:rRNA from 1 species
GAUGAACGCUGGCGGCGUGCUUAACACAUGCAAGUCGAACGGAAAGGCCCAAGCUUUCUUGGGUAGUCGAGUGGCGAACGGGCGAGUAGCACGUGGGCGAUCUGACCUGCUCUGCGGGGUAAACCUGAGAGACUCGGACGAAUACGUGACAGGACGGUGUCUGCGGUACCGUUCUGGAAAGAUUUUUCGGUGUGGUAUGAGGUGGCGGCGUAUCAGCUUGUUGGUGGGUAGAUGGUUUACCAAGGCGUCGACGGGUAGCCGGCCGGUGAGUGUGUAGAGCCGCAUUGGGGCUGAGAUGAGGCCCACAGUACUACGGCGGGCGGCAGUGGGGAAGAUUUCACGAUGAGGGGCAGCAUGAUGAAGCAACGCCGCGGGGGGGAUGAAGGCGUUCGGGUUGUAAACUCAUUUCGCUAGGGACGAAGCGCUAUCGUGACGGUACCUGAAGAAGAAGCACCGGCUAACUACGUG